rnacentral:rRNA from 1 species
UACGUAGGGUGCGAGCGUUGUCCGGAAUUAUUGGGCGUAAAGAGCUCGUAGGCGGUGUGUCACGUCGGCCGUGAAAACCUGGGGCUCAACUCUGGGCGUGCGGUCGAUACGGGCAUCACUUGAGUUCGGCAGGGGAGACUGGAAUUCCUGGUGUAGCGGUGAAAUGCGCAGAUAUCAGGAGGAUCACCGGUGGCGAAGGCGGGUCUCUGGGCCGAUACUGCCGCUGAGGAGCGAAAGCAGGGGUAGCGAA